CCUACGGGGGGCUGCAGUCGAGAAUCAUUCACAAUGGGGGAAACCCUGAUGGUGCGACGCCGCGUGGGGGAAUGAAGGUCUUCGGAUUGUAAACCCCUGUCAUGUGGGAGCAAAUUAAAAAGAUAGUACCACAAGAGGAAGAGACGGCUAACUCUGUGCCACCAGCCGCGGUAAUACAGCGGUCUCAAGCGUUGUUCGGAAUCACUGGGCGUUAAGCGUGCGUAGGCUGUUUCGUAAGUCGUGUGUGAAAGGCGCGGGCUCAACCCCCGGACCGCAGGUGAUACUGCGAGACUAGAGUAAUGGAGGGGGAAGCGGAAUGCGCGGUGUAGCAGUGAAAUGCGUAGAUAUCGAGAGGAACACUCGUUGCGAAGGCGGGUUCCUGGACAUUAACUGACGCUGAGGCACGAAGGCCAGGGGAGCGAAAGGGAUUAGAUACCCCUGUAGUC
rnacentral:rRNA from 1 species